ensembl:lncRNA
AACGAUGCGGAAGUUGAAGUCACCGUGGAGAACGUAAACUAAUGUUAAGCAGCCUCCUGAAAAUUAAAGAAAAGAGCCAAAGAAAAUAAAGAAAAAGAGGCAGAGGCGGCGGAGCGGACACCGGCCGAGCAGGACGCUUCUUCUCCGUCUGCUCUCUCACUGCUGCCGGCAUGCAGCGGAGUUUGUUUAGCUAGCCGUUACUGUCACUACUCCUCCGGUUCUCCGUUAACCGUUGCCUUCUCCGUGACCGUCAGUCCGCCCGUUACCGACACAGCUGCCGAUAAAUGGACCCACCGGGUGAGUCAGAGUCCACGUCGGAGGUGCUGCGGGACUGCACGGCUCGUUAAACCUGCUACAUCCCAUCCUCUCCUGGAGUUUAUUGGAUUAAAAUGCAGAUGUGAUGAAGCAAACGGUGUGAAGUGAAG